UACGUAGGGGGCAAGCGUUGUCCGGAAUCAUUGGGCGUAAAGAGCGUGUAGGCGGCUAUUUAAGUCCUGCGUGAAAUCCUGCGGCUCAACCGCAGGCGGUCGUGGGAAACUGGAUGGCUAGAGUGCGGGAGAGGAGAGUGGAAUUCCCGGUGUAGCGGUGAAAUGCGCAGAUAUCGGGAAGAACACCCGUGGCGAAGGCGGCUCUCUGGAACGCAACUGACGCUGAGACGCGAAAGCGUGGGGAGCAAACAGG
rnacentral:rRNA from 1 species